AUACGUAGGGGGCGAGCGUUAUCCGGAAUUAUUGGGCGUAAAGAGUACGUAGGCGGUUCUGUAAGCGUGAGGUGAAAGCCCGGGGCUUAACUCCGGUAAGCCUUUCGAACUGCAGGACUUGAGUGCUGGAGGGGAAAGUGGAAUUCCUAGUGUAGCGGUGAAAUGCGUAGAUAUUAGGAGGAACACCGGUGGCGAAGGCGGCUAUCUGGACAGUAACUGACGCUGAGGCGCGAAAGCGUGGGGAGCAAACAGGAUUAGAUCCCCUGGUAGUCCACGCCGUAAACGAUGAAUACUAGGUGUGGGGGGACUGACCCCCUCCGUGCCGCAGUUAACACAAUAAGUAUUCCACCUGGGGAGUACGAUCGCAAGAUUGAAACUCAAAUGAAUUGGCGGGG
rnacentral:rRNA from 1 species